rnacentral:rRNA from 1 species
CAGUAGCCGCGGUAAUACGAAGGGUGCAAGCGUUACUCGGAAUUACUGGGCGUAAAGCGUGCGUAGGUGGUGGUUUAAGUCCGUUGUGAAAGCCCUGGGCUCAACCUGGGAAUUGCAGUGGAUACUGGAUCACUAGAGUGUGGGAGAGGUAAGUGGAAUUUCCGGUGUAGCAGUGAAAUGCGUAGAGAUCGGAAGGAACAUCUGUGGCGAAGGCGACUAUCUGGGCCAACACUGACACUGAGGCACGAAAGCGUGGGGAGCAAACAGGAUUAGAUACCCCGGUAGUCCCUGUCUCUUAUAC